GACGUAGGGAGCGAGCGUUGUCCGGAUUCAUUGGGCGUAAAGAGCGCGUAGGCGGCCGUGCAAGUCGGUUGUGAAAUCCCGGGGCUCAACCCCGGGACUGCGUCCGAUACUGCACGGCUCGAGGCAGGUAGGGGAGAGUGGAAUUCCCGGUGUAGCGGUGAAAUGCGCAGAUAUCGGGAGGAACACCGGUGGCGAAGGCGGGUCUCUGGGCCGAUAUUGACGCUGAGGAGCGAAAGCGUGGGGAGCGAACAGG
rnacentral:rRNA from 1 species